CCUACGGGAGGCUGCAGUGGGGAAUAUUGGGCAAUGGGCGCAAGCCUGACCCAGCAACGCCGCGUGAAGGAAGAAGGCUUUCGGGUUGUAAACUUCUUUUGUCAGGGAAGAGUAGAAGACGGUACCUGACGAAUAAGCCACGGCUAACUACGUGCCAGCAGCCGCGGUAAUACGUAGGUGGCAAGCGUUGUCCGGAUUUACUGGGUGUAAAGGGCGUGUAGCCGGGUUGACAAGUCAGAUGUGAAAUCCUGCGGCUUAACCGCAGAACUGCAGUUGAAACUGUUGAUCUUGAGUACUGGAGAGGCAGACGGAAUGCCUGGUGUAGCGGUGAAAUGCGGAGAUAUUAGGAGGAACACCAGUGGCGAGGGCGGUCUGCUGGACAGCAACUGACGGGGAGGCGCGAAAGCGUGGGGAGCAAACAGGAUUAGAUACCCGAGUAGUC
rnacentral:rRNA from 1 species